UCACCUAAUCAGCUAACAGCAAAUUAGUGGAGCUAAUGUUUUCAUUAGCAAGUUAACUUUUCCGCCUACUCUGAAAACAUUAGACCAAUCAACUUCCACAAACUUUACUUCCACUAACAUUUUUUUAAUGAAGUUUAAUAGUCAAAAACAUUUGUAAACCAUAGCAUACACUCACCAAAUGAGGGAAAUUUGCUAGAAGUCGACCCCUAAUAUCUACAGUUGUGUUCAAAAUAAUAGCAGUGUGUCUAACUGCACAUUCUAUUUAAAAUAAAAACAUAAACAUUUUAUCACAUUACAGAAAGUGAAUACAAGGGACUGUUAGACUGUUUAAAAUAAUAGCAGUGUUUGCAUUUUUCUGUGGCCUUUACUUAAGGACGAUGGCAGCAAAUGUUCAUGCUGGUUGUUGUACAUUUCUCUCUGAAAAUCUGUGUAUAAUGGGUCGUCCCAGACAUUGCUUAGAUGAACAGCGUACCUUGAUUAAGAAAGUCUAAAGUUGCCUGUAGGUACUGUGACAAUUAGAAGACGCCCAUGUGAAGCCAAGCUAUAGGCAAAAAGUCCCCGCAAAGUCCAGUUGUUGAAAAAAUGAUGUGCUGAAGUUACAAUUUGCCAAAAACACAUUGACUGGCCUAGAGAAAUGAUGCAACAUUUUGCAGACUGAUGAAAGCAAGAUUGUUCUUUUUGGGUCUAGGGGCCGCAGAUAGUUUGUCAGACAACCCCCCCAAACUGGGUUCAUGCCAAAGUACACUGUGACAACAGUGAAGCAUGGUGGAGCAAGCAACGUAUGAGAAUGCUUCUCAUACUGUGGUGUUGGACCUAUUUAGCACAUACCAGGGACCAUGGAUCAGUUUGAAUACAUCAAAAUACUUGAAGAGGUCAUGUUGCCUUCUGUUGUCUUCAACAAGACAAUGACCAGAAGCACAUCAGCAAGCGAGCAGCAUGUUGGUUCCAAUUAAUCCCAGGACCUUAAUCCAAUUACGGUGUAUGUUGACUUGUCUUUUCCAGGACAAACCUGUUUCAAGCAAGCGCACAUUUGCUUUUGCAAAGUGCCACAAAUCAGUCACUUGACUGUUCCCAUGUUGCAAAAAUUCUGGGGUCUAUGCCAUUGCAGUCCCAAAAAUUAAUGAAUGCCCAUGAGUGCACAAUAUGUUGGUUGAAACCCACGC